rnacentral:rRNA from 1 species
ACGUAGGUGGCAAGCGUUAUCCGGAAUUAUUGGGCGUAAAGGGUGCGUAGGCGGCGAGAUAAGUCUGAGGUAAAAGCCCGUGGCUCAACCACGGUAAGCCUUGGAAACUGUCUGGCUGGAGUGCAGGAGAGGACAAUGGAAUUCCAUGUGUAGCGGUAAAAUGCGUAGAUAUAUGGAGGAACACCAGUGGCGAAGGCGGUUGUCUGGCCUGUAACUGACGCUGAAGCACGAAAGCGUGGGGAGCAAAUAG